ensembl:lncRNA novel transcript
GUCAAUCACACAGGGCCCACCACAGCCCAGAGUUGGGUUGAGUGCGAAUCUAGCGAACCCUGUGAAUCACGUCAGCGCCUGCACAGUGGGAAGGGGUCCCCCCUGGCACGUUGCUGCCAAGUUUCAACAGCGCUUAGAGGGGAAGCGGCAGAAGCAAUUCGGCUUCUCGAUGGGCUUGCCCCGGCGUGCACUUGCACGAAGCAUUGGCAGGAAGGAAGCUUACAAAUUCAUCUGGGGCCACCAGCUUCCGGGGAUCCGGUGACUUUUACGCCGUACGCAGUGGCUCACGCCUGUAACCCCAGCACUUUGGGAGGCCAAGGUGGGAGGAUCACCUGAGGUCAGGAGUUCGAGACCAGCCUGGCCAACAUGGUGAAACCCUGUCUAUAAUAAAAAUACAAAAAUUA